AGCAACGUCGGGGUAACCUGCGCUGUAACGACUGGGAUAACUCCGCGUGAAACCGGAGCUAAUACCGGAUAGUUCCUUGAACCGCAUGGUUCAAGGAUAGAAAGACUGGUUUCUGCGCUGUGCUACUUACAGAUGGACCCGCGGCGCAUUAGCUAGUUGGUGAGGUAACGGCUCACCAAGGCGACGAUGCGUAGCCGACCUGAGAGGGUGAUCGGCCACACUGGGACUGAGACACGGCCCAGACUCCUACGGGAGGCAGCAGUAGGGAAUCUUCCGCAAUGGACGAAAGUCUGACGGAGCAACGCCGCGUGAGUGAUGAAGGUUUUCGGAUCGUAAAGCUCUGUUGUUAGGGAAGAACAAGUGCAAGAGUAACUGCUUGCACCUUGACGGUACCUAACCAGAAAGCCACGGCUAACUACGUGCCAGCAGCCGCGGUAAUACGUAGGUGGCAAGCGUUGUCCGGAAUUAUUGGGCGUAAAGGGCUCGCAGGCGGUUUCUUAAGUCUGAUGUGAAAGCCCCCGGCUCAACCGGGGAGGGUCAUUGGAAACUGGGAAACUUGAGUGCAGAAGAGGAGAGUGGAAUUCCACGUGUAGCGGUGAAAUGCGUAGAGAUGUGGAGGAACACCAGUGGCGAAGGCGACUCUCUGGUCUGUAACUGACGCUGAGGAGCGAAAGCGUGGGGAGCGAACAGGAUUAUAUACCCUGGUAGUCCACGCCGUAAACGAUGAGUGCUAAGUGUUAGGGGGGUUUCCGCCCCUUAGUGCUGCAGCUAACGCAUUAAGCACUCCGCCUGGGGGAGUACGGUCGCAAGGACUGAAAACUCAAAGGAAUUGACGGGGGCCCCGCA
rnacentral:rRNA from 1 species